ensembl:lncRNA
CCCCGACGUGUACCAGUGGCAGGUGCUCCCCUUUGGCACCACGUGCAGUCCCUGCUGUGCCACGUAUGCCCUGCAGAGACACGUCACGGAUCACAGUCAGCCGGGAGACCAAUUCAGAGAGGUAAUUGAGAGAUCAUUUUACGUCGACAAUUGCCUGCACAGUCUUCACUCCCCUCAAGAGGCUAGAGACCUAGUUGAUCAACUUCGAGCACUUCUAGCCACAGGAGGCUUCGAGCUUCGACAGUGGGCCAGCAAUUGUCCAUCUGUGAUUACUCACCUCCCCGCUGAAUCCAGAUCCAGUACCUGUGACCUCUGGCUCAGUCAAGGCCAACAAGACGUCCACGAGUCUACACUUGGACUGCAGUGGCAUUGUCAGUCCGACACUCUAUGUUACAAGCAUCGAACCAGAUGCUCUUCCUCCGUAACAAUGCGCCAGAUCUACCGAGUGCUAGCGAGCCAAUAUGAUCCUCUUGGCUAUCUUAUCCCUUACACCACCCGGGCUAAGAUAAUAGUACAGCACCUGUGGGACAAGAAGCGUGAUUGGGACGACCCACAGUUGCCUGAGGAACUGCUUGCAUCAUGGCACGAAUGGGAGAAGGAGUUGAGUGGACUGGAGGAAAUAUCUCUGCCCAGGUGCUAUUCUCAAUCACACAAAGAUCACCCAUCCUGUAGCUAUGACGUCCACGUCUUCUGUGACGCUUCGGAGCAGGCGUACGGUUCAGUGGCCUACCUGCGGAUAGAGCACAAAGAGGGUCAAGUCGAAGUUGCCUUCAUCGCCGCCAGGUCCCGAGUUGCCCCUCGCAAGCAACAAUCCAUACCACGCCUAGAGUUGUGUGCCGCCCUCAACGGAGCGCAGCUAUCCCAGCUUCUGACCACAGAGCUUACUAUUCCCAUCCGCUCCACUACGCUCUGGUCUGAUUCCACCACUGUGCUCAGGUGGUUGACAUCCAGCUCAUGUCGUUACAAGGUGUUUGUGGGAACGAGGGUAGCAGAGAUUCAAGAGAUGACAGCUUCCGCCAUCUGGCGCUACGUCAGAACUUCAGACAACCCAGCGGACGACAUCACUCGCGGCAAGCCUCUUGGAGAUCUCUCCAAAGAAAGCCGGUGGAGCCAGGGGCCGGCACUCCUUAAGCUUCCCUCCGAUAGUUGGCCUGAGCAGCUUCCUUUAUCGCUUGAAGAGCCAAGCUGCGAACUAAGACAGUCAUCAUUCUUUGGGUUAGUGACCACAACUACACCCUCAGCUAAGCUGCAGCACUAUGACACGCUGGCAGAGUGCCUGAAUGCUUACGGGCAGGAGCUUCACGGGGCGGCCUACACCUCCAGUGCCGACCUCCAAAGGGAUGUUCAACAUGCAGUCCUCUGUCAAGCUCAAGCAGAGUCCUUCCCCGAUGAGCUGAGACUUCUGAAGUCUGGGAAACCUAUAUCGUCUACAAGCAGACUGAUCACACUCUCCCCGGAGCUUGAUGCUGCUACUGGACUUAUUCGAGUAGGAGGCCGUCUACGCCGCUGUGAGGUACUGGAAGAGGAUGCAGUACAUCCAGCUGUUCUCGACCCUCGACAUCCAAUCAUAGCGCUAAUCAUGAAGGAUUAUGAUGAGAGGCUACAUCAUCCAGGUACAGAG